rnacentral:rRNA from 1 species
UACGAAGGGGGCUAGCGUUGCUCGGAAUUACUGGGCGUAAAGCGCACGUAGGCGGCUUUCUAAGUCGGGGGUGAAAUCCUGGAGCUCAACUCCAGAACUGCCUUCGAUACUGGAGAGCUCGAGUCCGGGAGAGGUGAGUGGAACUGCGAGUGUAGAGGUGAAAUUCGUAGAUAUUAGGAAGAACACCGGUGGCGAAGGCGGCCCACUGGUCCGGUACUGACGCUGAGGUGCGAAAGCGUGGGGAGCAAACAGG